UUCAAAUACGCUUCAGCAAAUAUCUUAAAUAUCUUAAAUUCUGCAUAUAUUCACCUUUCUCUUCAUCUUCACCCAACUGAAUCGGCUCUUCAUCUUCACCCAAUUGAAUCAGUCAAUCCGAGAUUCAGUGGAGACUCAUUCAAAUUGGAAGAUAUUCGAUCUCUUUUUUUCCUCUAACUUUCUCACAUCGCCGUUUGCACGAACAAAAACUCUAGCAUUUGUCACCGCAUCCUACGUUGUCAGAUCACUGCCGCCUCCAUUUUUCUGAUACCUCAAGCGAUGAUUCUCACUAAGAUUCCGGUUUGUGAAACUACUAAAUUAAUUUUCUACUUUCCCUUUUAGACGGACGGGAAUCUAAACUCAAAGGUUUCUUAAUAAUAAAUAUGGCAUAGCCAAGCUUCAAGCAUGCUUUGUUGGAUUAUGAAGUUUUGAUGAUUCAAAUUCGUGCACAAUCCAAAGACAAAUUUCAUACUCCAGUGGUCCUAUAGGUAUAUAUAUAUCUUCAUCAUUUCUACUCAGUUGCUUUUUUUCUGCAACUUUUUGUAUAUACAUACUAAAUUGUCCAAUCUUUACUCUCUGUUUCAAAUAACAUUCCAAAUUCAACUUUGUAUUGAAGAUAGUGAGUCGAAACAGAGAAGGUGAUGCACAUAGAUGGCCUAAUAUGUGGGUCAUGUAGAUAGCAGACCUUGCUUACUGGUCAUAUUCCCUGUUUUAAUUCUAAUUUGUUUCCGGUUAAUUUAAUCAUUUAUAGGGAAGCAUUAAAAUCAUCUUUAUUUCUUGUGAUUUUAUAUUUUAUUUGAUGGUGCAGGGUUUACAGACCAUCAUUGCAAAAAUUAUAUUUUAAUGAGGUUUAUUAUAUAAUUGUUUGUUGAAGUAUUUUCUAAAGGCUACUUUGUUUUUACAUUAUUAUUCUCACAUUAUUAUAGAUUUUGUGAUCAGAUGUGUAUAUGUGAUUAAUAGAUGACACCCCAACAUUCACAUAGACAGAAGUACUUCUCCCACAAAGGUAAUAUUGUAUUAAAAGGAAAAAAAUAUAAGAUUUCAAAUACCUUUUAUUUAGUUUUCUAAAAUUAGGUUAUGUACUUUUACAAUAUUGGUGUGCUGCUCGCACUUUGGGCUCCAAUCUUUGGUAAAUUCAUGAUCUAUCUAACCGAUUUAAAAAUAAAUCAUUACUUAAUGAACUAUGAUGACAUUCAACCAAUUAGCACACAAUUAGUUAAGUUGAUUGUAUUACUUAUGUACCAGUUUUAAUUUGUUGAGGUUAAUGAAAAAUUAAACACACAA